AUGUUGCCCUGAUGCCCUUUCUCUUUCCCCAGAUCGGGCCCAGCACAGGCAGCGUCAGUGCAAACUUCCCCCACCCCGCCUUCCACCCAUGUGUGUCAACCCUGCCCCUGGAGGGACCAUCUCUCGAGGUAAGGGAGGAGACUUGCCUCCAGCAACAGCUUGGUCCA
rnacentral:sRNA from 1 species